AGGGGCUGGCAGGAUUCGAACCUACGACCUUUCUCUCUAGGUCACCUGUGUGCUUGACCACUGCACCACACAGCCCC
rnacentral:tRNA from 1 species